AUUUUCUAAUAAUGAUUUUUGUGAAUUGUGGUUAGUUUUUUAAUCAAAUGCUUUUUCUGCAUCAACUGAGUUGAUCAUAUGAUUUUUCUUUUUUAUAUGUUAAGAUGAAUUAUAUUUAUGUAUUUUGUAAACCAAAACUGUUCCUUUACACGUAAAAUAUACCUAACAUAAUUGGAGUGUAUCUUUUUUUCAUACACAUUGAAUAAUGUUAAUAUUUUCUUUGUGGAAUUUGUUAUAUAUGUAUGAUUAAAAUGUGUAUGUAAUUUUUUUCUCCUAAUAAUUUUGAUUUUAGUAAAUGAAUUGAAGAAUGGGGCAAAUAACUUUUCUGCUUCUUUGUUGUUUAGAAAAUUUGAUUAAAAAUUGGGAUGAAGUGCUGAUUGAACAAGUAUAGUUCAGAUGUCUGCGAGCAGUUAAGAAUAAAGAAAAAAUGAUGGGAAGGUUCCUGUGGCUAUCAAAGCUCUGGAAGAUUAAAAGGAGACGCAGAAAUGGAAGCUACUCUCUUAGGAGCAAGAGAAUUCUGGAAGUACUCACUGCAGAGACAAAUGGAAACGAGUCCACUCUAGGAAGAAGAAUAACUGGAAGCUUGAAAGUUUUUCUGAAUGAGCUAUGUAAACGUGACUUGGAAAUGUGACUUCAGGAGAAAGAACCAGGUUUGACACAGUGAGCUAAUCUUAAACAGGAACAGGAAUUGAAGCAGAAUGGCCACAAAUGAGCCGAAUAAAUCAGUCAUUGACAAAUAGGGAUACAUAUAAGCAUUUAGUAAGUAUAAGUAUUAAGUAAGUAAAAGUAUUUAGUAAUAUGAUAAAUCCACACUUAUACAUUAUAUGUAUAAAAAUAAUCCAUAAAAGUACCUAUUUUAGAGAAACAGGAAAAUUGUUCCCAUGAUGCAGUAUCCAUUCAUUCACUCACUCAUUUCAUAAUAUUAAACUUAGAAGAGUUGUAAGAAUAUAUGCUGUGCCCAAGGAUAGUACAACCGACUAUGACAUCUUCUCAUGCAAUAUUCACAUACUAGUUAGGAAAAAUAGUACUAUGAACUGAUUAGUUAGCUAAGGUGUUGCAAAUGCUAUACCAAAAACAAACAAACAAACAAAACAUGAAUACGACAAUGGAAAAUGUUAAAGAAUUAAACCUAGAUUCAGAAAAAGAGGCAGCAUGUAAAAAAAAAAAAAUAGGAUAACUUUAGACAAUUCUAUUAAAUCUAUUUCUCAGAGUAAAAUGGGAUAAGACAAAAUGGAAAUAUAUCAUCAAGUCCUCAAUAAAUUAGGAAAUGUACAAAAUGGGCUAGAGGUAAGAUUUUCUGAUCAAUAGCAGUUAUUUUCCUGUUGUCAGCUCCUACCACUCUCAAAUUCCUAACCCAACCUGAGGCAGCGGUGCCCCAAAUUCCACCCCACAUUUAACGAGUCACAUUUAAUGGAGAGGAUAAUGUUCAGCAUCUUCAGUUCUGCUAAUUUCACAAGAAGCAGACGCUACCCUUGGGGAACAGAAGUGAGACCCUCUCUAGGAAUCCAUUGCAGAUAGUUUCCUUUUUAAAAAAUGCAGGCCUAUUUUGAUCUCUGUGCCUCUAUGUAUUUCUGGUUGUUUUUCACUCUUAUUGUCAUGGGGGACUGAAACUACUGUUCAUUCUAUUCUUCCGUGUUCAAUUCACAGAUGAUUAGGACUGUGUUUUGGGAAAACUUUGCCUCUCAGUUCCUUUGUUCAGAGCUGCCAUAAGGAACAAGAUAGACAUUGAUAAAGACAGGAAAGAAAUCACAGAUCCCUGUAUCCUCUGCUUUGCUACUGUCAGUGAUUUUUUCAUCAGCAUCAUUUAAAUGUGUGUGUUUCUUCCCUAUUUUAAUGUUUUAAAUAGUUCAUCCCACUCCAGUCUUCUCUCAUCCACAUUCACAGCCAAAAUUAUUGAAAUCAUUCCUAAUCCUCACUUCCUCACUUGUCAUUCUCUAUUCCACCCUUAGAAUUCCCACAAUGUUUUUCAUUCCCACGUCACUGAAGCUGCUUCUUGAAAAGGCUGCCAAUCACUACACAUCCUAAACACAAAAUAUAUUUUAGUUCUUCUCCUACUUAGCCUCUCAGCAGAAUUGCACAUCAAUAUUUGUUCAACAUCAGUACUCUCUUCAGUUUCCAUUAAACCACUGUCUACAUCAGUCUUCAUUCUUCCUCUGUGGCCCCUCUAUUUCAUUCGCCUCCUCUGCCUUUCUGGUGCUCAUUCUAAGUGUCAGUGUUCCUGGGGUUCUGGGCCAGGUUAUCAUUUUUAUUCACCUUCCCUAGACUCCUUUGCUGAUUUCAUUCACUUACAUGGUUUCAAUUGACCUCCAUAUCACAUUGACUCCAAAACUUAUGGCAUUAGCUAAUAUAUCAUUUUACUUUAGUGUUAGUAGAUUGAUCUAUCUUUUAAGCAUUUUUACUUAAACUAUAGCACCACAAAUUCAUCAUAAAAUUAAAUUACUCAUUUUAUGUUUCUCUUGUUGUAUUUUCUCUUACCUAUAUUACUCACUAGCUUACAUCCAUUUAUCUAACUCUUAAUAAAAUCCUACCAAAUCCUACAAAAAUCUAACACAUUACUUACAUUUGACCAUCUCUUUUAAAACAGUGUUCUCUAAACAUUUUAUUUCAAAACAUUAUUAUAUGUGUAUACAUUUAUAUGUUAUAAAAAUAUGCAAAAUUAAAAACAUGGUUGAAAUAAAAUAAAAAUAAAAAGAAGUUCUAAUGUUUCUUUUUUUGUCUGGCCCAUUAGCCGCCCUUGUGUAUCCCAGGAGUAUAUACCCCAUACUUCAGAGACCACAGGUCUAGGUAUCAUCAUGCUAGACUGCCUAGAAUGUUGCAGCAGUGUUCUAUCUUCAUUUAUGGCACUAUAGACAGAAGAGUCAUUCUCAAAAGAAAAAAAAAAAAACAUGACUCCUGUUUAAAAUCCUUCAGUAGCUUAUCACUGCCUCAGGGGAAAAAACCUUAAUUCAGUAACAAGAUCCCUUUUGGUCUAUUAUCUCCCCUAGCCUGUAUCUGGGCUUCUUCCCUGCACCCUGACUGCAAUAAACCUUACAAAUGUUACUCCCUUCUCUUAAAACCCACUUCUGACUUCACUGAGUUCACUCUUAUAUGCUGUUAAAUAUUUAGCUCAGAAUUCAUACCCAAAAAAACUUACCUAGACAGGGAUAGGUGACCUUAAUCUGUGCUUCCAAGACAUCCUAGGAUUUCCUUUUUUCAAAUCAUAAUUCAUUUACUUGAAAAUAUAAUCAUCUGUUUCAGCCUGACUCUGGUACCACUCAAGACCAUAGAUUAUUCGCUUCUGUAUUUCAUGCUUGUGAAAUGUCUUUUAAGUUAGUGAAUAUUGUCUAUGAGCUUUAAGUUUAAGUUUAACUAUUAUCUUUUCUUUCUUACUGAAUGUAGAGGUGCAUGUAGCAGAAAUGUUAAGAGCUUAGGUUUUGGAGUCAGCCAGACUAGGCUGAAAUCCUGGCUUAUUCAUUUCUUAUUUGUAUAACAUUGAGCAAGUUACAUUCAAUCUCUGAAUCUCAGUUUGUGCAUCUGUCAAAUGGAGUAAAAAUUCUUACCUGAUACGAUUACUGUAGGGAUAAUGCAUGUAAUAAAUAUAUCUAGCAUAUUUGAAGAUACAUUGUAGAAAUUCAACAAAUUGAGCAUGUAUUCAUUUAUUAUUUUCUUUUUUUUAUUAUUAUACUUUAAGUUCUAGGGUACAUGUGCAUAACGUGCAGGUUUGU
ensembl:lncRNA